GACGGACGCUGGCGGCGUGCUUAACACAUGCAAGUCGAACGGAAAGGCCCUGCUUUUGUGGGGUGCUCGAGUGGCGAACGGGUGAGUAACACGUGAGUAACCUGCCCUUGACUUUGGGAUAACUUCAGGAAACUGGGGCUAAUACCGGAUAGGAGCUCCUGCUGCAUGGUGGGGGUUGGAAAGUUUCGGUGGUUGGGGAUGGACUCGCGGCUUAUCAGCUUGUUGGUGGGGUAGUGGCUUACCAAGGCUUUGACGGGUAGCCGGCCUGAGAGGGUGACCGGCCACAUUGGGACUGAGAUACGGCCCAGACUCCUACGGGAGGCAGCAGUGGGGAAUAUUGCACAAUGGGCGGAAGCCUGAUGCAGCAACGCCGCGUGCGGGAUGACGGCCUUCGGGUUGUAAACCGCUUUCGCCUGUGACGAAGCGUGAGUGACGGUAAUGGGUAAAGAAGCACCGGCUAACUACGUG
rnacentral:rRNA from 1 species